AUUGAACGCUGGCGGCAUGCCUUACACAUGCAAGUCGAACGGUAACAGGUCUUCGGAUGCUGACGAGUGGCGAACGGGUGAGUAGUGCAUCGGAACGUGCCCAGUAGUGGGGGAUAGCCCGGCGAAAGCCGGAUUAAUACCGCAUACGACCUGAGGGUGAAAGGGGGGGAUCGCAAGACCUCUCGCUAUUGGAUCGGCCGAUGUGAGAUUAGCUAGUUGGUGGGGUAAAGGCCUACCAAGGCAACGAUCUGUAGUUGGUCUGAGAGGACGACCAGCCACACUGGGACUGAGACACGGCCCAGACUCCUACGGGAGGCAGCAGUGGGGAAUUUUGGACAAUGGGCGCAAGCCUGAUCCAGCAAUGCCGCGUGCAGGAAGAAGGCCUUCGGGUUGUAAACUGCUUUUGUCAGGGAAGAAAUCUUCUGGGUUAAUACCUCGGGAGGAUGACGGUACCUGAAGAAUAAGCACCGGCUAACUACGUGCCAGCCGCCGCCGUAACAC
rnacentral:rRNA from 1 species